rnacentral:lncRNA from 1 species
GGAAGCACAUAGAUUUGUAUCAUCUGAGGAACUGAUCAAUUGUCUCCAUUCAGAAAUCCAGAAAUCACACCCUGCUGUCACACUCACUCCGGCCAGAAAGCCCAGACCUGGUAUUUUAUGGAUCCUGUCUCUGAUAUUUCAGGAAGCCCCAAGAGGAAUAAAAACCCAUUAUUUUCCUAAGGAUGACUUCUUCUUUGUUUCUAACACCAAGAAUGCAUGGCAAGGCACAGACGAAACUCUUCAUCUCCACAACAUUCAUCCUCAGCUCUUGGCAUUGACACUCUCCUCCCAUCAGAAAGACAAUACAAAUACAAACAGUUCUGGAUGAGCUGAAACUGAAGUGUGGAGCUUUUCUGGAGCAUAUUAAAAGAAAAGCCUGCUCAGACAUACCGUGGGAACUAAAGAGGCGUACGUGUCCAGCAACAGUUUGCUUCAUAGUGGAGACUGUGCAUGCAGGUCACAUUUCCCUCUGCAGUCAUCUUCUGGAUUGUGUUUAUCUAUGUGUCAGAAGUGAAAACACAGACAUAAGAACAUAAGAACACUUAACGUUUUCUUUUUUUUUUUCAUCUAGAUAAAAAGGGAAUUGAUUGACAUCUCAUAUUUCUGGGGUUUAGUGAGAUCAUAACUGCACUUUAAUUGGUUUAAUUACCAGAAUAUAAUAUUGCAGGUAUGUAAUGUAGACCUGUAAUAUAGUUAUACAAUGUACGAUAUGUGUUAUAUAUAAUAAAAUACAACAGGUCAUAUAACACAGUUUUCGUAAUAGUUAUUAGUAGGACUAUCAGUAGUGAAUAUUCAAUGACAUGAAUAGAAAUUUCCCAUGAGUAAUGUCUUCAGGAUUCAGCUCUUCUUAUCUAAGCUUCUAAGAAGAACAUAUAUAUGAAGAAAACAUAAAGGUUAUGAAAUACGUAAAUAUGGUAUUUGGAGGCUGAGGUUGAAUUUGGCUUCAGUAAGCUGGAGGUCUCAGUUCCUCCGGAAUGCUUAGGCACCUGACUGCCACUUCACAUUUCCACAUUUGCUUCAGAAAUACAUUUUUUCUUUAUAUUUUUCAUGUCUGACUCAGUACUCACAGUGGUUUUCAUAA